UGACCCUUCACUCCGAUUGCCUCAGUUUCCUCAUCUGUCAAAUGAACUGGAGAAGGAAAUCGCAAACCACUCCACUGUCUUUUGGCAAUGCGUCGGAUGCGACUUAAUCGACUGGACAAGGAAGAGGGAGGAAAGGAAAAGGAAGUUUGGGGGUAAUCUCCUGGAGGUGCAAGGCGGUAGGAGAAGAAAGAAGACGAGAGGGGAGGUGUAGAAGGAACUCAAGUGGGAGAAACGUAAUGAAUGACGUAAGGCGAGAGGAAGCUGCGCAGAGCAGCGUCAGCUACUUUGGGAGGGAACACCCAAGAGGCAGGAAUAAAAGGAAGGGAUUCUAGUUCAAAUCCGGGUUAGAUUAGGCGGUUUCUGAGAUCUACCAGCAUGGAGAUUUAGGGAAGGGGAUUUCCUCAGGCUCCCGGGGAAAACACAGGGAACGCUUUCUCCCAGACGGCGGAGAGGAAUAAAACGGAAGGAGGAGCCUGACGGGGCGAGGCCAGAGGCGGGGAGGUCAUUCGGGGAGGGGCGAGAGCAGGAAGAGGCGGGACCUGAAGAGGAGGGUCCGAGAGAAAUAUUUCCCUAGAGGCGGGGCGAAGUCAGGAGGAGGAGUCUAAAGGGGCGUGGGCACAAAGGAGCCGUCUCCCGAAGGCGGGUCGGGAUGAGAGCCGGGGAACGAGUGUAAAGGGAGGUGGGCAGAAGGAAGAGUUCGAAACAAAAGGAGUUCUUGGCCAUGGAGGAGCAAGACUGUCUCAAGAAACAAAAAUUUGGAGGCGGGGGAGAUGAUUGUUCAGGUUCCGUCUCCCACCUUGGGAACAAAGCAAUUCUUCCCCAUCUCCCUCAUUCCGGUGGCUAGGAAUGUAAUGUAAUGAGUGACUCCUGGAACUACAAUUCCCAUAGAUCGCCCGGUAUCCAACAAACCAAUCAAACGGUACGAAGGAAGCCCGCUGGGAUGGGUAUUUCCCAGAAUGCCCUCCGGAAAAAUCAGACUAGCCAAUAAAUAGGGUCCUGGGAUGAAGUCGAAAAGGGGCGUGUCCCUUCCGGCAUGCCCGGAACUACGCCCUGGAAAAGACAUAGCUCUGGUUUGAAAUGUUUCCGACUGAUCGACUCCAGACCUGUUGAUGAUGAACUGUUUCCUGAUGGUUUUGAAAGAACCCUCCUUAAAAUUUGAUCUUUCGAUGUAUUUUCUAGGUACGAUGAUCGAUUUUCGUUAAUCUCGUCCCUUUAUCUCUCUUAAAGAAAAUGGCGGCAUCUUUUGCAAAAAGUAAACAAAGAAUUCUGCAUUCUACUGUAUGGAAAGUCAUCAACCUGUGAAAUAGUUAUCUUGCCAAUGGUAACAACGUGGAGCUGGAAAUGAAUAACGCAAACAGCAGCUUCUUAUUGGCGGCGUGGGUCAACUCGGGUUUUACACGGCCUGCUUUCCCAAGCCCUAGCCCGAGGAGAAGGCGUGGCCGGAUUAAUCACGUCACUUCCCUAGAAAACGAGAGCAUUAUCCCUUCAUCUCUAGAUGCUUCAGGACUUCUAAACAAGGUGGGCGCUUGAGGAGACUGAAACGAACGGAGGCGGCUAAACCACCCGCAGGAAAUCCCGGGAAGCUCACUCCCGACUUACGGGCAAGCCCGGCUCAGGCCGAGGCCGGAAGCCUGCGUCAUGUACUGGGGGUGGGGAAAGGGAGGCAAGGGCCUCCACGUGGCCAGUGGGUGGAGUUUCUCUCCUGAUUGGUGGGCAGGACUAUCAUUUAGGCAGCUAGAAGGCGUACUGGAUAAAAUGCCAAGAGUCAGGUUCAAAAUCUGCUUCAAACGCUUGUUUUGUGACCCUGGGCAAGUCACUGCCGUUUCCUAAUCCGCAGAAAGGGACUGGAUAAAUAAAUGGCAAACCACUACAGCAUCCUUACUAAGAAAACCCUACACAAGAUCGUAAGGGCACGACUGAAAAAAAAAAAACGGAAGUCCGCCCCUUCAGCACGAGAGAGAUAGGCUCCGGCGAAAGUUUACCGCAGCUCCCCCCUCGGGUUUGGAGCCUCAUAAUGCGAGGAGAGACACUGCGCAGUUGUCACAGAUUACAUGGCGCAUGCGCUCUAGGGCCUAGACCCCGCGCUGAAGCGGGUGUAAAGGAAUUUUGGAUCUAGAGUCCGGAGGGAGACCCAGCCCGGGGUUAAUAUGCUGAUCUUGGGCAUUGGGCCAGCCCGCAGGCGACCUUCCCCUUCUCAGGGCAGUGACAGAGCGGGAGCACGACGCUUCGUUCGAGCACGCCCCUUCACGUUCUUUGUAUUAACUCCCACAACGCAGUUCGCCCAUAUACCCGCGCACACAUGAAAUCUGUUUUUGUGGUUCACUUUUGUAGCGGACAGCUAGGUGGCGCAGCGAUUAGAGUGCGGGACUUGGAAUAAACAAGACCUGAGUUUGAAUGCUGUCUCUGGGACUGUGACACUAGGCAAGUCAACUGACGUCUGAAAAAUAAUAAUGAUAACAACAUUUAGUUUCCAGAAUUGUUGUGGGGAUAUAAUGAGGUAACAGCGCAAUAUCUGAUAUGCACUAGGCUCUAUAUAAAUACUAUUGUGAUGUUGAUCAUUUAUUACUGUUAUAUGGAGUGGAGUCACCAAAUGUAAAAUGCUUUGCAAAUCCUCAAAGGACUAAACAUGCUAGUUAUUUUAUCACUUUCUUUUACAAAUGUAACUUUUCUUUCACAGCAUGACUAACAUGGAAAUUUGUUUCAUGUGACUACACGUCUAUAACCUAUGUCAAAUUACCUUCUCUGGGGGGAGGGAAUUUAGAACUCAAAAUUUGAGGGGAAAAAAUGUUGAAAUUGUCUUUACGUGUAAUUGGGGUGAGGGAGAUAAAUAUUAAAUACAAAUUUAAAAAUGCAAAAAAAGAAAGUUUAAAAGUUUUUUAAAGAUGUUUAAAAAAUUUAAACUUUUUUUUCUUUUUUACAAAAUGUAAUCCUUGCUCCUUCACCUACCCAGACCAUUGUUCCUAUUUUGCAUCGCUGAUAGAGGACUACUAACUGGUACUCCCUCAUGAAUGGGACUGAUUGGAUGAAGUAUUUCUCAGUAUUGCCACAUGAUCCCUGUUUCCAGAACUGGGACCUUGGGAAGGUCAUUUGAUCUCUGGAUUCCUCUGGAGGAAUGAACUUUGAAACUGGAAUACAGGAAGUUGCAGGAAGUGACAUGACCUGUGGGAAGCAGCCAAUAUUGGUGACCAUUGGUCAAGGAUGGUUACGACCUGUUAUUCUAUCCAGUGAAAAAGCUCUAGUCUUUUGCUUUUAAACCCUGGACAAGCCCGUAGUUGGCCAGGUUCCAGAAGCACAAUGUGGGAAUUGGAAUGGCUCCCUGGUGUGGCUGGGCCUCUCCCUGCAGGGAUUAAAUAAAUGCUUUCUCUUUGUAGCUGA